GAUGAACGCUGGCGGCGUGCCUAAUACAUGCAAGUCGAGCGAACAGACGAGGAGCUUGCUCCUCUGACGUUAGCGGCGGACGGGUGAGUAACACGUGGAUAACCUACCUAUAAGACUGGGAUAACUUCGGGAAACCGGAGCUAAUACCGGAUAAUAUAUUGAACCGCAUGGUUCAAUAGUGAAAGACGGUUUUGCUGUCACUUAUAGAUGGAUCCGCGCCGCAUUAGCAGGUUGGUAAGGUAACGGCUUACCAAGGCAACGAUGCGUAGCCGACCUGAGAGGGUGAUCGUCCACACUGGAACUGGGACACGGUCCAGACUCCUACGGGAGGCAGCAGUAGCGAAUCUUCCGCAAUGGGCGAAAGCCUGACGGAGCAACGCCGCGUGAGUGAGGAAGGUCUUCGGAUCGUAAAACUCUGUUAUUAGGGAAGAACAAAUGUGUAAGUAACUAUGCACGUCUUGACGGUACCUAAUCAGAAAGCCACGGCUAACUACGUG
rnacentral:rRNA from 1 species